rnacentral:rRNA from 1 species
AUUGAACGCUGGCGGCAGGCCUAACACAUGCAAGUCGAACGAGUGGCGGACGGGUGAGUAAUGUCUGGGAAACUGCCUGAUGGAGGGGGAUAACUACUGGAAACGGUAGCUAAUACCGCAUACCCUCAGAUGUGCCCAGAUGGGAUUAGCGAGUUGGUGGGGUAACGGCUCAACAAGGCGACGAGCCCUAGCUGGGAUGAGAGGAUGACCAGCAACACUGAAGGUGAGAAACGGUCGAGACGCAGAGGGGAGGCAGCAGUGGGGAAUAUCGCACAAUGGGCGCGAGCCUGAUGCAGUCAUGCAGCGUGUAUGGAGAAGGCCUUCGGGUUGUAAAGUACUUUCAGCGGUGAAGCGUUACCCGCAGAAGAAGCACCGGCUAACUCCGUGCGAGCAGCCGCGGUAAUA